GUUUGGUAAAGCUGUCAUUUGUUUAGUUACUAAUUGUGCAUAGCUUGUGGUUGUGGUCUCUGUAGCUAGAAAUCUGGUUUGUGAUUUUAUAUCAAAUGCUUGACAAUUGAGAGAACCUUUCUUAAAGAGAAAUCACAUAGGAUGAGUGGCAAAAUUUGUUCAAAUAAAUUCUUUUAUAUGUGGUUUUGUUCCUUUCUUUUGUAGACUUGGAUUACAUAUACUUGCAAAAAAGUUGUGUAAUUAGCUUUUGUUACUUAACCAUAUUGCAGAGUCCUUAGUAGAUACCAUUUAGCAUAAUAUGAGCUAGCUGUGCUUGGAAAUCUUUGCCCUGAAACUGUAGAGGAAGCUAAUGCUCUUGUGCCUUCUCUAAAGACGAAAGGACGAAGCCAUGACGAUGAAGCAAUAGAGAAAUUGUUGAAUGACCUACUAAUGGUAAAGAAAUUUGAGUGAGUUUCUCAGAGUUUUCUUUUACUUCAAAAUGAAUAAAACAUAUCUAGUUGUGGCAGACUAUAUAUCUUUUGCCUUACUCCAUUGCCAAUAAGAUGUUAAUGUUGAACACAGAGUACUUCAGCUGGUUGUUGUACCCAAAUUUCAACUUUAUCCUUAUUUCCUUUGUAC